GACGAACGCUGGCGGCGUGCUUAACACAUGCAAGUCGAACGGAAAGGCCCUGCUUUUGUGGGGUGCUCGAGUGGCGAACGGGUGAGUAACACGUGAGUAACCUGCCCUUGACUUUGGGAUAACUUCAGGAAACUGGGGCUAAUACCGGAUAGGAGCUCCUGCUGCAUGGGGGGGGUUGGAAAGUUUCGGCGGUUGGGGAUGGACUCGCGGCUUAUCAGCUUGUUGGUGGGGUAGUGGCUUACCAAGGCUUUGACGGGUAGCCGGCCUGAGAGGGUGACCGGCCACAUUGGGACUGCGAGACGGCCCAGACUCCUACGGGAGGCAGCAGUGGGGAAUAUUGCACAAUGGGCGGAAGCCUGAUGCAGCAACGCCGCGUGCGGGAUGACGGCCUUCGGGUUGUAAACCGCUUUCGCCUGUGACGAAGCGUGAGUGACGGUAAUGGGUAAAGAAGCACCGGCUAACUACGUG
rnacentral:rRNA from 1 species